UACGUAGGGGGCAAGCGUUGUCCGGAUUUAUUGGGCGUAAAGCGCGUGUAGGCGGCCAGGUAGGUCCGCUGUGAAAACCCGAGGCUCAACCUCGGGACGUCGGCGGAAACCAUCUGGCUAGAGUCCGGAAGAGGAGAGUGGAAUUCCCGGUGUAGCGGUGAAAUGCGUAGAUAUCUGGAGGAACACCGGUGGCGAAGGCGGCAUUCUGGACCGAUAUUGACGCUGAGGAGCGAAAGCCAGGGGAGCAAACGGG
rnacentral:rRNA from 1 species